GAAAGACCGAGGGUUCCAGUCCAACGUUAAUCGGGGCUGGGUGAGUCGACCCCUAAGGCGAGGCCGAAAGGCGUAGUCGAUGGGAAAAUGGUUAAUAUUCCAUUACUUCUGUGUAAUGCGAUGAGAGGACGGAGAAGGCUAAAUCAGCCUGGCGUUGGUUGUCCAGGUGAAAGGAUGUAGGCAUGUAUCUUAGGCAAAUCCGGGGUACUCUAUGCUGAGAUCUGAUAGCAAGCUGUACUUGUACAGCGAAGUGGUUGAUGCCAUGCUUCCAGGAAAAGUCUCUAAGCUUCAGUUACACAGGAAUCGUACCCGAAACCGACACAGGUGGUCAGGUCGAGUAGACCAAGGCGCUUGAGAGAACUCUGCUGAAGGAACUAGGCAAAAUGGUACCGUAACUUCGGGAGAAGGUACGCUGUUGUUGGUGAUGGAACUCGCUUCCUGAGCUGACGACAGCCGCAGAAACCAGGCCGCUGCAACUGUUUAUUAAAAACAUAGCACUCUGCAAACACGAAAGUGGACGUAUAGGGUGUGAUGCCUGCCCGGUGCUGGAAGGUUAAUUGAUGGGGUUAGCGUAAGCGAAGCUCUUGAUCGAAGCCCCAGUAAACGGCGGCCGUAACUAUAACGGUCCUAAGGUAGCGAAAUUCCUUGUCGGGUAAGUUCCGACCUGCACGAAUGGCAUAAUGAUGGCGGCGCUGUCUCCAGCAGAGGCUCAGUGAAAUCGAAAUCGCUGUGAAGAUGCAGUGUACCCGCGGCUAGACGGAAAGACCCCGUGAACCUUUACUGCAGCUUGACACUGAACUUUGACCUUACUUGUGUAGGAUAGGUGGGAGGCUCUGAAGCUGGAACGCUAGUUCCAGUGGAGCCGUCCUUGAAAUACCACCCUGGUAAUGUUGAGGUUCUAACUCUGUCCCGUGAUCCGGGACGAGGACCGUGUCUGGUGGGUAGUUUGACUGGGGCGGUCUCCUCCUAAAGAGUAACGGAGGAGUACGAAGGUGCGCUCAGCGUGGUCGGAAAUCACGCGUAGAGUAUAAAGGCAAAAGCGCGCUUAACUGCGAGACCCACAAGUCGAGCAGGUACGGAAGUAGGUCUUAGUGAUCCGGUGGUUCUGUAUGGAAGGGCCAUCGCUCAACGGAUAAAAGGUACUCUGGGGAUAACAGGCUGAUACCGCCCAAGAGUUCAUAUCGACGGCGGUGUUUGGCACCUCGAUGUCGGCUCAUCUCAUCCUGGGGCUGAAGCAGGUCCCAAGGGUAUGGCUGUUCGCCAUUUAAAGAGGUACGCGAGCUGGGUUUAGAACGUCGUGAGACAGUUCGGUCCCUAUCUACCGUGGGCGCUGGAAAUUUGAGAGGAUCUGCUCCUAGUACGAGAGGACCAGAGUGGACGAACCUCUGGUGUACCGGUUGUGACGCCAGUCGCAUCGCCGGGUAGCUAUGUUCGGAAGGGAUAACCGCUGAAAGCAUCUAAGCGGGAAGCCUACCUCAAGAUAAGAUUUCCCUAGGACUUUAUGUCCUCUAAAGAGCCGUUCGAGACUAGGACGUUGAUAGGUUGGAUGUGGAAGCAUAGUGAUAUGUGAAGCUGACCAAUACUAAUUGCUCGUGAGGCUUGACU
rnacentral:rRNA from 1 species